AUCUCUGCUGUUUCUUUAAUCGAAUCUCAUCGAAUUGAUCUGGGUUAGGAUUUUCAUAAGGCGAAUUGAGAGUUUACCUUUCGUGAGAGAGCUUGUCUUUUAGCCUUUGUACGUCUGAAAAAUGGCGAAUUUUGCCAAACCGGAGAAUGCAUUGAAGCGUGCUGAUGAAUUGAUCAAUGU